AUUGAACGCUGGCGGCAGGCCUAACACAUGCAAGUCGAACGAGUGGCGGACGGGUGAGUAAUGUCUGGGAAACUGCCCGAUGGAGGGGGAUAACUACUGGAAACGGUAGCUAAUACCGCAUACCAUCGGAUGUGCCCAGAUGGGAUUAGCUAGUAGGUGGGGUAACGGCUCACCUAGGCGACGAUCCCUAGCUGGUCUGAGAGGAUGACCAGCCAACCUGGAGAUGAGAAACGGGCCAGACGCCUACGGGAGGCAGCAGUGGGGAAUAUUGGACAAUGGGCGCAAGCCUGAUGCAGCCAUGCGGCGGGUAUGAAGAAGGCAUUCGGGUUGUAAAGUAAUUUCAGCGAGGAGGCGUUACUCGCAGAAGAAGCACCGGCUAACUCCGUGCCAGCAGCCGCGGUAAUUC
rnacentral:rRNA from 1 species